CAGGAAAUAGUUUAUAUAAAAUAUUAAUUUUGGAGAUUAGAGAAAAAUUAGGUAUAUUUUUUCCUGA
rnacentral:tRNA from 1 species